rnacentral:rRNA from 1 species
CAAAGGAAUUGACGGGGGCCCGCACAAGCGGUGGAGCAUGUGGUUUAAUCGAUGAUACGCGAGGAACCUUACCUGGGCUCAAAUGUAUGUUGACGUAUUCUGAAAGGGAUACUUCUUCGGACAAUAUACAAGGUGCUGCAUGGUUGUCGUCAGCUCGUGCCGUGAGGUGUCGGGUUAAGUCCCAUAACGAGCGCAACCCUCAUCAUUAGUUACCAUCAGGUAAGGCUGGGGACUCUAAUGAGACUGCCAUCGUAAGAUGUGAGGAAGGUGGGGAUGACGUCAAAUCAGCACGGCCCUUACGUCCGGGGCGACACACGUGUUACAAUGGGUGGUACAAAGGGCAGCUACCUGGCGACAGGAUGCUAAUCUCGAAAACCGCUCUCAGUUCGGAUCGGAGUCUGCAACUCGACUCCGUGAAGCUGGAUUCGCUAGUAAUCGCGCAUCAGCCACGGCGCGGUGAAUACGUUCCCGGGCCUC